rnacentral:rRNA from 1 species
AGAGUUUGAUCCUGGCUCAGAUUGAACGCUGGCGGUAUGCUUAACACAUGCAAGUCGAACGGCAGCAUGUUAUGUAGCAAUACAUGAUGAUGGCAAGUGGCGGACGGGUGAGUAACGCGUAGGAAUCUGCCUUAAAGAGGGGGACAACCCGAGGAAACUCGGGCUAAUACCGCAUAAUCUCGAGAGAGAAAAGCUGGGUAGCAAUACCUGGCGCUUUAAGAGGAGCCUGCGUCUGAUUAGCUAGUUGGUAGGGUAAAGGCCUACCAAGGCGAUGAUCGGUAGCUGGUCUGAGAGGAUGACCAGCCACACUGGGACUGAGACACGGCCCAGACUCCUACGGGAGGCAGCAGUGGGGAAUAUUGGACAAUGGGGGGAACCCUGAUCCAGCAAUACCGCGUGUGCGAAGAAGGCCUUAGGGUUG